rnacentral:rRNA from 1 species
AUUGAACGCUGGCGGCAGGCCUAACACAUGCAAGUCGAACGGUAACAGGAAGCAGCUUGCUGCUUCGCUGACGAGUGGCGGACGGGUGAGUAAUGUCUGGGAAACUGCCUGAUGGAGGGGGAUAACUACUGGAAACGGUAGCUAAUACCGCAUAACGUCGCAAGACCAAAGAGGGGGACCUUCGGGCCUCUUGCCAUCGGAUGUGCCCAGAUGGGAUUAGCUAGUAGGUGGGGUAACGGCUCACCUAGGCGACGAUCCCUAGCUGGUCUGAGAGGAUGACCAGCGACACUGGAACUGAGACACGGUCCAGGCUCCUACGGGAGGCAGCAGUGGGGAAUAUUGCACAAUGGGCGCAAGCCUGAUGCAGCCAUGCCGCGUGUAUGAAGAAGGCCUUCGGGUUGUAAAGUACUUUCAGCGGGGAGGAAGGCGAUAAGGUUAAUAACCUUGUCGAUUGACGUUACCCGCAGAAGAAGCACCGGCUAACUCCGUGCCAGCCGCCGCAGUAA